UGGGUGAUCUGCCCUGCACUUUGGGAUAAGCCUGGGAAACUGGGUCUAAUACCGAAUACACCUUGCUGGCCGCAUGGCCUGGUGGGGGAAAGCUUUUGCGGUGUGGGAUGGGCCCGCGGCCUAUCAGCUUGUUGGUGGGGUGAUGGCCUACCAAGGCGACGACGGGUAGCUGGUCUGAGAGGACGACCAGCCACACUGGAACUGAGAUACGGUCCAGACUCCGUACGGGAGG
rnacentral:rRNA from 1 species